rnacentral:rRNA from 1 species
UACGUAGGGCGCAAGCGUUAGGCGGAAUCACUGGGCUUAAAGCGUGUGUAGGCGGGUCGUUAAGUACCUUGUGAAAUCCCACGGCUCACCCGUGGAACGGCUGGGUAUACUGGCGAUCUUGGGCCAACUAGGGGCGACUGGAACAAGCGGUGGAGCGGUGAAAUGCGUAGAUAUCGCUUGGAACGCCGAAGGUGAAAACAGGUCGCUGGGGUUGUGCCGACGCUGAGACACGAAAGCCAGGGGAGCAAACGGG